UGUGUUUGUGUCUAAAAGCUGAGCGCCUCCAUUUGCUCUGUUGCAGAUGCUCAACCUGUAGCUUCUUGUCUGCAGAAUAUCUGUGAAAAGAAGAGGAGACAACAGACGGAGAAGAUGAUCUGCAGGAUCCUGCUGCUCCUCAUCCUCACCUCAUGUGUCUCUGGAUCAUUUGUAGUCAAUGUGACACAGACCUCCUAUCAGGCAGAGGAGAACCACAAGAUCACACUGGAGUGGACGUUCACCACCAAACCUGACAGAUCCUCUAAAGCUGCUGAUGAGCCCAAACAUCAAACUCCAACAGUGAACCCACAGACUGAGAGUCGAGGCCUCUAUGCUGCUUUCAUACUAACAUCAGCUGC